rnacentral:piRNA from 1 species
CCGGGUGCGAAAGCAAUGGGAGCUG